GCCAAUAUUUUAUACCUGCUUCAAGAAAACAUUAUUUAUAUUGUAUAAGAUGAGGUUUAAAAUGCCUGUCUAUAUUUUUUGAAGGGUCUCUUUAAAAGAAAUUAUCUAUUCAUAAUUGAAAUUCUCCAGGCAAAUCAGUUAUCAGCAUUUUCAACAGAACAGCUGGUCUCAAACUCCUGACCUCAGGUGAUCCACCCGUCUUGGACUUCCAAAGUGCUGGGAUUACAGGCGUGAGCCACUGCACCCGGCUGAAAGUUGCUAUGAUUUCUAAGCCAUCCGUUGCACACUGGUAAACU
rnacentral:lncRNA from 1 species